ACGUAGGGUGCGAGCGUUAAUCGGAAUUACUGGGCGUAAAGCGUGCGCAGGCGGCGGCUCAAGUCAGGUGUGAAAUCCCCGGGCUUAACCUGGGAAUUGCGCUUGAAACUAGGCUGCUUGAGUGUGGCAGAGGGGGGUGGAAUUCCACGUGUAGCAGUGAAAUGCGUAGAGAUGUGGAGGAACACCGAUGGCGAAGGCAGCCCCCUGGGUCAACACUGACGCUCAGGCACGAAAGCGUGGGGAGCAAACAGGAUUAGAUACCCUGGUAGUCCACGCCCUAAACGAUGCGAACUAGGUGUUGGGGAAGGAGACUUCCUUAGUACCGCAGCUAACGCGUGAAGUUCGCCGCCUGGGGAGUACGGUCGCAAGAUUA
rnacentral:rRNA from 1 species